UACAGAGGGGGCGAGCGUUGUUCGGAAUUACUGGGCGUAAAGGGCGCGCAGGCGGCUGCUCAAGUCAGGCGUGAAAGGCCUGGGCUCAACCCGGGAAUUGCGCUUGAGACUGGGCUGGCUUGAGUGCGGGAGAGGAUGGUGGAAUUCCCAGUGUAGAGGUGAAAUUCGUAGAUAUUGGGAAGAACACCGGUGGCGAAGGCGGCCAUCUGGACCGCAACUGACGCUGAGGCGCGAAAGCUAGGGGAGCAAACGGG
rnacentral:rRNA from 1 species